UGGGAGACACACUGCUAAGGGGAGAACUGGGGAGCCCCAGAGCCGCAGCUCAGCAUGAGACCUCCGAGGAAACAAGGAGACGUGAGUGCCUCUGGCUGCACGGGCCUGGGCAUAGCUUCUCACUAUUCUGCAGCUGAGGGGGUCACCCCAUUGCCUCACCAAGAAGCAGGGAGAGCUAUAAAUCCACACCAGGGACAGCUCCAGAUGGCAAGAGUUUUCUCGUUCUUUGGCUUCCCUGGGUAUGGUCCGCUCUUGCCAGGGAUCUACAAUCACCUGUAAUCUACCUUCCCAAGGAGCAGUGGUGGAUCACUGGGAUCUGCCUCACCUCAUGGCAGGCAAAUGGAAGAAAGCUGUUCUUUCCUUAGGAAUGAAAGAUUUAACUAAUGCACUCACCUACUUACAGUGAAUAUCUCUGUCUUUUAAAAAUUAUCUUUAAUUGUGGUAAGAUACACAAAAAAAUUUGUAAUCUUAACCGUUUUUCAGUAUACAAUUCGGUAGUGUUAAGGAUAUUCAUGGUAUUGUAUGACCAAUCUCUGGAAAGUUUCUGUCUUGUAAAACUGAAACUCUAUUCCCAUUAAACAACUCU